rnacentral:ncRNA from 1 species
ACGAAUAGGGGAGCUUGGUAACAGGCUGAGAAUGCAACCGCAGACCCUUGAACCUGAUCUGGGUAAUUCCAGCGGAGGAAAUCAUGAAA